rnacentral:rRNA from 1 species
UGGGUGUCCCCAAANGAUAGUCCCAUNGGUGCACGACCUANUGCUUCCGCGCUGACGCGUGCCGUCGCAGCAUCUUUGUCGCNCGCGNUGUNCGNCGCCGCNAUGUCGCUCGCAGCGCCAUACUUGCAUCGCUUNGGUGCGCAGUGGACGUGCCCGUCCUAGUCGCUGGCAUAUGCCANAGGGNCAUCUGCCUGCCUANUGCGUGCUAGCCNGCCCAGCGUGCCGNGCGGUUGAUGCUNUCNGUACGCACAGCCUGCACAUGAGCNGUGCGCGUGCUGGCCGCNACAAANCCUGCGCCNUGGCGCGNACGCGAAUGUUCUCUCUGCAUGUACNUCCCUGCUGCUGCCUGUGCGCGCGUNCCGNUACNNGCUCCUGAAGNUGUCGUNUGCNUGCCUGNUCNGCGUGCNUGUCCUGCCGCGUGUGUUGCUGUUGGGUGAACCUUUACUCGACUACUCGACGAAUGCAUNNAGAUNGGGUUAAUCGAUCAUGGGCUCAGAGAUCGAACGCUGGUCGNANANGCCUAAUACAUGCAAGUCGAGCGAACAGAGAAGGAGCUUGCUCCUAUCGACGUUAGCGGCGGACGGGUGAGUAACACGUAGGUGCAACCUAACCUAUAAUAGUUUUGGGAUAAACUCCGGGAAAACCGGGGCUAAAUAUACCGAAUAAUACUAAUUUCACUUACANUUGGUAGAAAUAACUUGAAAGACGGUUUCGUGCUGUCUGCUAUAAAGAUGGGCCCGUGGCGCAUUAAGCUAGUAUAGGUGGAUGGGGUAAACUGGGCUCAACCAAAGGCUGACGNAAUAGGCAUAGGUAUGUUCGUUCUAUGCUACUGUUAGGUACGUUGAGGAAUAGUAUAGGGGUAUAAAAGGUUUCCCCUGUCNAACCGAAGGCCGCAAACACCNUUUGUAAUUCUUUUAAGGAUUUUGCGCCACUUCCAAUUUUAAGAACGUAUUCGCGGGCACGUACCUAAAAGGGGCUAUGAACUUAGGACUCGGUGUUAGANCAAAACAAGCCCUGGGAAGCGCAAACGAGUUGGCGCGCGGACUUGCACCGGUUACAAGAACAAUUCCCAACUACCAUUUGCGCCCCUUAUAAUUUGCACCCCUAGGGGCCUAAACAAACACGAGUAGCCUCAACCAAAGUUAGGGAGGGNAGCCGGGGAAAUUCAACCCGAAACACCCCGNGGUUCUAGGCGCCACCAACAAACCCUUACCCGCCCAGACAANGACAAAGCAGGAGGGAACGGCCUUACAANAANUACCCCCCGAGCAAUAACACANCAGGCUCACCAGCAUCACCCUUCCACAAGGGCGUAUAUCCCGGGGGGGAAAAUUUAGGGGUAAAGGCGAAGGCCAUUACGGCCNAAGACNUAUNCACAGCACCCACUNCAAACCAAAUACAGCAACAACAGCCCCGCGGAGAANNAAUUACNCAGCCAUCAACAGGCAUCAACAAAUCACCCGGCCCGGGGGGAANAUACACCAAGCGCCACANUAGAACNCCCGNCCACGGGCGCAUCGCGCACACACACCAACCCGCNCUACCCCCCCCCGNAGGGCGGGGACGCCCCACNCAUAGACGCAACAAACAGACACCCGNAGC